UACGUAGGGGGCAAGCGUUGUUCGGAAUUACUGGGCGUAAAGGGCGCGUAGGCGGCUUGAUAAGCGUGCGGUGAAAGCCCGGGGCUCAACCCCGGGUCGGCCGUGCGAACUGUCGAGCUGGAGCACUGUAGAGGCAGGUGGAAUUCCGGGUGUAGCGGUGGUAUGCGUAGAGAUCCGGAAGAACACCGGUGGCGAAGGCGGCCUGCUGGGCAGUGGCUGACGCUGAGGCGCGACAGCGUGGGGAGCAAACAGG
rnacentral:rRNA from 1 species